AACGAACGCUGGCGGUAUGCCUAACACAUGCAAGUCGAACGAGAUCUUCGGGUCUAGUGGCGCACGGGUGCGUAACGCGUGGGAAUCUGCCCUUUGGUUCGGAAUAACAGUUGGAAACGACUGCUAAUACCGGAUGAUGACGAAAGUCCAAAGAUUUAUCGCCAGAGGAUGAGCCCGCGUAGGAUUAGCUAGUUGGUGUGGUAAAGGCGCACCAAGGCGACGAUCCUUAGCUGGUCUGAGAGGAUGAUCAGCCACACUGGGACUGAGACACGGCCCAGACUCCUACGGGAGGCAGCAGUGGGGAAUAUUGGACAAUGGGCGAAAGCCUGAUCCAGCAAUGCCGCGUGAGUGAUGAAGGCCUUAGGGGUGUAAAGCUCUUUUACCCGGGAUGAUAAUGACAGUACCGGGAGAAUAAGCUCCGGCUAACUCCGUGCCAGCCGCCGCGGUAA
rnacentral:rRNA from 1 species